rnacentral:rRNA from 1 species
UACGUAGGUGGCAAGCGUUAUCCGGAAUUAUUGGGCGUAAAGCGCGCGCAGGCGGUCUCUUAAGUCUGAUGUGAAAGCCCACGGCUCAACCGUGGAGGGUCAUUGGAAACUGGGAGACUUGAGUGCAGAAGGAGAAGAGCGGAAUUCCACGGUGUAAGCGGUGAAAUGCGUAGAGAUGUGGAGGAACACCAGUGGCGAAGGCGGCUCUUUGGUCUGUAACUGACGCUGAGGCGCGAAAGCGUGGGGAGCAAACAGG